GACGAACGCUGGCGGCGUGCUUAACACAUGCAAGUCGAACGGAAAGGCCCUGCUUGCAGGGUACUCGAGUGGCGAACGGGUGAGUAACACGUGGGUGAUCUGCCCUGCACUUCGGGAUAAGCUUGGGAAACUGGGUCUAAUACCGGAUAGGAGCCAUCUUUAGUGUGGUGGUUGGAAAGUUUUUUCGGUGUAGGAUGAGCUCGCGGCCUAUCAGCUUGUUGGUGGGGUAAUGGCCUACCAAGGCGGCGACGGGUAGCCGGCCUGAGAGGGUGUACGGCCACAAUGGGACUGAGAUAAGGCCCAGACUCCCACGGGGGGCAGCAGGGGGGGAUAUUGCACAAUGGGCGCAAGCCUGAUGCAGCGACGCCGCGUGGGGGAUGAAGGCCUUCGGGUUGUAAACUCCUUUCGCUAGGGACGAAGCUUUUUUGUGACGGUACCUAGAGAAGAAGCACCGGCUAACUACGUG
rnacentral:rRNA from 1 species